rnacentral:rRNA from 1 species
GUGCCAGCCGCCGCGGUAAGACGAACCGUGCGAACGUUGUUCGGAAUCACUGGGCUUAAAGGGCGCGUAGGCGGGUCAGCAAGUCUGGGGUGAAAUCUUUCGGCUCAACCGGAAAACUGCCUUGGAUACUGCUGAUCUCGAGGGAGGUAGGGGCAGCUGGAACUUCCGGUGGAGCGGUGAAAUGCGUUGAUAUCGGAAGGAACGCCGGUGGCGAAAGCGAGCUGCUGGACCUCUUCUGACGCUGAGGCGCGAAAGCCAGGGGAGCAAACGGGAUUAGAUACCCCGGUAGUCCUGGCCCUAAACGAUGGGUACUAGGUUGUGGACUAGACAUGGGUUCACAGCCGAAGCAAAAGUGCUAAGUACCCCGCCUGGGGAGUAUGGUCGCAAGGCUGAA